AAGAAGUGCCUUUCGCCUCCUGCCAUGAUUCUGAGGCCUCCCCAGCCAUGUGGAACUGAAGCAUGUAUGUGUCACACACUGUUCAAGGUCGCACAUUGCUCAAGGAGCCCACGAGCAAUCAAGGGAGACAGAUGGAGAUGUGAAUUCACUAUGCUGCCCAGGCUGGUCUCGGACUCCUGACUCCAAGUAAUCCUCCCACCUUAGCUUGCCAAAGUGCUGGGCUUACAGACAGAACAUACAGUAUCCCUGGCUUUGGACCUACAGAAGGAAACACAUUUUUCUACCUGCUGUAUGCCAGAGGUUCCUGAACACCUGCAGGGUUUAUUGCAGCACAGAUUGCUAGGCCCUACUCCAGAGUUUCUGAUUCAUCAGGUCUAAGGUGGGGCCUGAGAAUAUGCAUUUAUAAAAAGUUCUCAGGUGAUGCUGGUGGUGCUGGUCCAGAGACUACAUUUUUGAGGACCAUUCUUGUAUACUAACUGUAAAUUGUAGAACUCUAGAAGAAAGCUUACUUGGGUCUGGGAUAAGAAGCACACAGGUUAUGGAGCAAAUCAUGAAAGAUUCAACCCUUGAUCCCAGCCUAGUGUGGAAUUCAGAUAACAUGCAAUACCCAGUGACAUAACACAAUUCUUGGUUUUCACAAUUGCUGCAAGUCAUAGUCUAGUAUCUAGUGAGAAAUUCAGUUUCAUUUGCAAGGUUUGGAGAGGCCAGGUGAUUCUAGUCAAAUAGGAUUUAGUGAUUAACCCCUUGAGAGUAGGAGUUGUUUAUGUCCUUUUUCUCUCCCCCAUCACUUAGCAUUUAGCCUUACUUUAGAAGGGCCUUGUAAUUUUUUUUUAAACUGGUAAAGAGCUUUGAGUGCUUAUUAAAUUGAAAAAUGUGUGUUUUU
rnacentral:lncRNA from 1 species